rnacentral:rRNA from 1 species
GAUGAACGCUGGCGGCGUGCCUAACACAUGCAAGUCGAACGAAGCACCUUGAUUUCCUCGGAUUGAUAGGUGACUGAGUGGCGGACGGGUGAGUAACGCGUGAGUAACCUGCCUUCAAGAGGGGGAUAACACAGAGAAAUUUGUGCUAAUACCGCAUGACACCGUAGUGUCGCAUGACACAUCGGUCAAAGAUUUAUCGCUUGAAGAUGGACUCGCGUCUGAUUAGCUAGUUGGUGAGGUAACGGCCCACCAAGGCGACGAUCAGUAGCCGGCCUGAGAGGGUGAACGGCCACAUUGGGACUGAGACACGGCCCAGACUCCUACGGGAGGCAGCAGUGGGGAAUAUUGCGCAAUGGGGGAAACCCUGACGCCAGGCAACGCCGCGUGAAGGAUGAA